AGAGUUUGAUCCUGGCUCAGGACGAACGCUGGCGGCGUGCCUAAUACAUGCAAGUCGAACGCUUCUUUUUCCACCGGAGCUUGCUCCACCGGAAAAAGAGGAGUGGCGAACGGGUGAGUAACACGUGGGUAACCUGCCCAUCAGAAGGGGAUAACACUUGGAAACAGGUGCUAAUACCGUAUAACAAUCGAAACCGCAUGGUUUUGAUUUGAAAGGCGCUUUCGGGUGUCGCUGAUGGAUGGACCCGCGGUGCAUUAGCUAGUUGGUGAGGUAACGGCUCACCAAGGCCACGAUGCAUAGCCGACCUGAGAGGGUGAUCGGCCACAUUGGGACUGAGACACGGCCCAAACUCCUACGGGAGGCAGCAGUAGGGAAUCUUCGGCAAUGGACGAAAGUCUGACCGAGCAACGCCGCGUGAGUGAAGAAGGUUUUCGGAUCGUAAAACUCUGUUGUUAGAGAAGAACAAGGAUGAGAGUAACUGUUCAUCCCUUGACGGUAUCUAACCAGAAAGCCACGGCUAACUACGUGCCAGCAGCCGCGGUAAUACGUAGGUGGCAAGCGUUGUCCGGAUUUAUUGGGCGUAAAGCGAGCGCAGGCGGUUUCUUAAGUCUGAUGUGAAAGCCCCCGGCUCAACCGGGGAGGGUCAUUGGAAACUGGGAGACUUGAGUGCAGAAGAGGAGAGUGGAAUUCCAUGUGUAGCGGUGAAAUGCGUAGAUAUAUGGAGGAACACCAGUGGCGAAGGCGGCUCUCUGGUCUGUAACUGACGCUGAGGCUCGAAAGCGUGGGGAGCAAACAGGAUUAGAUACCCUGGUAGUCCACGCCGUAAACGAUGAGUGCUAAGUGUUGGAGGGUUUCCGCCCUUCAGUGCUGCAGCUAACGCAUUAAGCACUCCGCCUGGGGAGUACGACCGCAAGGUUGAAACUCAAAGGAAUUGACGGGGGCCCGCACAAGCGGUGGAGCAUGUGGUUUAAUUCGAAGCAACGCGAAGAACCUUACCAGGUCUUGACAUCCUUUGACCACUCUAGAGAUAGAGCUUCCCCUUCGGGGGCAAAGUGACAGGUGGUGCAUGGUUGUCGUCAGCUCGUGUCGUGAGAUGUUGGGUUAAGUCCCGCAACGAGCGCAACCCUUAUUGUUAGUUGCCAUCAUUCAGUUGGGCACUCUAGCAAGACUGCCGGUGACAAACCGGAGGAAGGUGGGGAUGACGUCAAAUCAUCAUGCCCCUUAUGACCUGGGCUACACACGUGCUACAAUGGGAAGUACAACGAGUCGCGAAGUCGCGAGGCUAAGCUAAUCUCUUAAAGCUUCUCUCAGUUCGGAUUGCAGGCUGCAACUCGCCUGCAUGAAGCCGGAAUCGCUAGUAAUCGCGGAUCAGCACGCCGCGGUGAAUACGUUCCCGGGCCUUGUACACACCGCCCGUCACACCACGAGAGUUUGUAACACCCGAAGUCGGUGAGGUAACCUUUUGGAGCCAGUCGCCUAAGGUGGGAUAGAUGAUUGGGGUGAAGUCGUAACAAGGUAGCCGUAUCGGAAGGUGCGGCUGGAUCACCU
rnacentral:rRNA from 1 species